UACGGAGGGUGCAAACGUUGCUCGGAAUCAUUGGGCGUAAAGCGCACGUAGGCGGACCGCUAAGUCGGAUGUGAAAGCCCUCGGCUUAACCGAGGAAGUGCAUUCGAAACUGACGGUCUUGAGUAUGGAAGAGGGUCGCGGAAUUCCCGGUGUAGAGGUGAAAUUCGUAGAUAUCGGGAGGAACACCAGUGGCGAAGGCGGCGACCUGGGCCAAUACUGACGCUGAGGUGCGAAAGCUAAGGGAGCGAACGGG
rnacentral:rRNA from 1 species